GUUGGCCUCAAGCCCCUGUUCUGCAGCUGAUGGUUGUUCCUCCUCCUGUCCCAGAUCCUGAAGUACAUCCUCAGUCGUGAGAUCAAGGAGAAGCGGCUCCGGAGCCUGUCCAGGAAGUUCACCGACUGGGCGUACGGACCCGUGUCAUCCUCCCUCUACGACCUUACCAACGUGGACACCACCACGGAGAACUCAGUGCUGGAAAUCACUGUCUACAACACCAACAUCGACAACCGGCACGAGAUGCUGACCCUGGAGCCGCUGCACACGCUGCUGCAUAUGAAGUGGAAGAAGUUUGCCAAGCACAUGUUCUUUCUGUCCUUCUGCUUUUAUUUCUUCUACAACAUCACCCUGACCCUCGUCUCGUACUACCGCCCCCGGGAGGAGGAGGCCGUCCCGCACCCCUUGGCCCUGACCCACAAGAUGGGGUGGCUGCAGCUCCUAGGGAGGAUGUUUGUGCUCAUCUGGGCCAUGUGCAUCUCUGUAAAAGAGGGCAUUGCCAUCUUCCUGCUGAGACCCUCGGAUCUGCAGUCCAUCCUCUCAGAUG
rnacentral:sRNA from 1 species